CCGUGCCGUAUGCAGGGGGACAACAGUCAGAAAUGACUGCUAAUACCGCAUAAGCACACAAUGCUGCGUGGCAUGGUGUGAAAAGAUUUAUCGGCAUACGAUGGCCCCGCGUCUGAUUAGCCAGUUGGCAGGGUAAUGGCCUACCAAAGCAACGAUCAGUAGCCGGCUUGAGAGAGUGACCGGCCACAUUGGGACUGAGACACGGCCCAGACUCCUACGGGAGGCAGCAG
rnacentral:rRNA from 1 species